CUCACACGUCCCUGAGGAACUAGAGAGGAACGCCUCUGGGAAGCCCAGCCAGAGCCAACCGGAAGGGCCUUUUGGUGAAGUCUGACAUCCUACAUUAGUUUCUCUGGACCUGGGCCCCGGUUUCCAACUGCACCUUACAAGACUGGUUGGCAGCAGCCCAUGGAGAGCUCCCUGGAUAAAUCUCGCAGGAGUUUCCAGCUCAUGAGGGCAGAGGAGAUGAAGAGAGGCCGAUCGACGUGAGGGUUGUGCAGGCGGCCCCUCUGAGGUGUGACUCCAGUAAGUACUCUGGAAUUACUUGCUGAGAAAGAAAAGUCUGGAUGCCAAGAAAGGAGAUGAUGCAUAUCUGAACCUGGAAACCGCUUCCCACUGUAGAGCGUGUCUGAGUCAUGUCCCUUAGCUUCAGCAGAGCAGAUCCAGCAGGCUCUGAGCUUGGCCUCUUUGCCUGGAGCGAGACCUCUAGGUAAUGUCUCCAGAGAGGGUGGCACAAAGGAUCCUGGAUCUCCUGAUCACAGCAGCCCAAGAGUGCCGUGCGUGCACCAUGGCUCAAGAAGAAGACUUAAAAAGGGGAAAGUCCUCCUGAGGGUGCUGUAGGAGACAUCUGCAAAAAAGAAGAUGCUGGCAAUGUGCCAUCAACCUCAGAGGGGAGUAUUUACCCUGAAAUGGCUCACUUCCUGAGGAACAAACUUGCUGGAUCUAGUGUACGGAAACCUGAUUCUGGGUUCCUU
rnacentral:lncRNA from 1 species